UAAUGACUACACAGCACCUUCCCAUCUAC
rnacentral:piRNA from 1 species